rnacentral:rRNA from 1 species
CUAACACAUGCAGUCGAGCGGAUGAAGGGAGCUUGCUCCUGGAUUCAGCGGCGGACGCGGUGAGUAAUGCCUAGGAAUCUGCCUGGUAGUGGGGGACAACGUUUCGAAAGGAACGCUAAUACCGCAUACGUCCUACGGGAGAAAGCAGGGGACCUUCGGGCCUUGCGCUAUCAGAUGAGCCUAGGUCGGAUUAGCUAGUUGGUGAGGUAAUGGCUCACCAAGGCGACGAUCCGUAACUGGUCUGAGAGGAUGAUCAGUCACACUGGAACUGAGACACGGUCCAGACUCCUACGGGAGGCAGCAGUGGGGAAUAUUGGACAAUGGGCGAAAGCCUGAUCCAGCCAUGCCGCGUGUGUGAAGAAGGUCUUCGGAUUGUAAAGCACUUUAAGUUGGGAGGAAGGGUUGUAGAUUAAUACUCUGCAAUUUUGACGUUACCGACAGAAUAAGCACCGGCUAACUCUGUGCUCACCA